rnacentral:lncRNA from 1 species
GUUUUUAAUCCUUGGUCAGGUCUUCAGUUCCUGGACAUAGAAGAGCAAGAUAUGUAUGGAAAAGUGCCGCUGUGGGAGGAGACAAGGGUAUGAUUCAAGUGCAGGGAUCUUGUUAAAGAAAAAGGACACAAUAGUGACCUGGAAGAAAAGGGUCACACAAAGAAGACUGAUGAUAAGCAAUACCUUAAUUCACCUAAAGCUCAGACAAGCCAUGAAUAGAUCUAUCAAAACGAAAUUAGUAACUGACAUUUGUACAAAACAUGCAAUUAAUCCAAAGGUUUAUAGCCUUUCAAAGAUAAAUAACUGUCAGGAAGCCAUCCUUUACUGAAGGAGUGUUUCAUCCGAAAGACAGAGGUUUUUACAGCAUUGCUGAAAAUUCAGCAGAAAAUACAGCAGAAUUUUCAG